CUGGUUUGGCCAAGCAUGCCCCCUGCUCCCAUCACUUACCGACUUUUCCUGAUGUUUCUUCCCAGCCCCAGUUCCCUCCUCCCUCCAUUGUAAAGAUCCCCAUGGAACCCGUCCAGUCAGAUCCCCAAAACGGUGUCCAUUGCAUUGCCAGAAAAAGAGCUUCCAGCUGGAGUUAUUCCCUCUGACUCCUUCCUCAGUGAUUCUGACGCAGAUCGAAGCAUCACCUUACACUUGAAGAUUUCCUGCCCGCCUUCACCUGCCUUCAACUACUCCCGGAGUCUAGGGUUUCCAAUGCCACAAGUGAAGAUUGAGAUGGAGUCGGACCACGAGCAUGAGCACGGAGACAGAGAGAAGCGUCCCAGAGACGGUGGCAACGAAACCACCCUGUAGCCUCUGGUCUUCUGCAGCCCCCACCUCCCCCUGGCCAGCGAGGAGCGGGCUGGGGCCUGGCCGUCUCACACACACUCACUCUCUCUCUCUCUUUCUCUCUCUCUCUCUCACACACACACACACACACACACACACACACACACACACACACUCACUCUCACACACUGUGAUUCUCUAGAAAUACAGAUUAUCCCCCUUUGACACGCCCCAGCCCACUGUCACCCAAGCCUCCACUUCCCCCUCCCACCCAUCCCCAAGUCCCACAGGAAAGACAAGCAACAGUGUAGCUCUUCAUAACUUAGGGAUAGAACCUAGAACCGCAGACGUGGUAGAUCGCCACGGCCCCCUUCUUGCUGCUCGGCCUUGCUUGCUUGGGAUCUCCUUCACUUGGCAUUCCCUGCCUCGGUUUCCAAAUCCCUGACAGAAAUCCAGACCUCCUCAUCAGGGGCAUGCUAAUGCAUCCCCUCCUGAGGGACCAACUACUGCAUCUGGAGAGGUCAGAGCUGGGACAGAACCUGACAAAGCCAUCCGUGAGCUCUCCGGGAAGAGGACAGAAACGUAGCCACAAAAUCUCACAAGGGUCCCAUCUGCUAAUCCUGCAGGACUUCGAGACCCGCAGGUGGCCUUCUCUCCCCUAAGAUGUGACACAGUAAAUGGCCCAUUCCUGUCCCAAACCCCCCUGAGUCCCCAAGGAUAAAGGCUCACUCCCUAAACUUGCCCUGUCCAUGACUGACGAUCCCCAGGCCCUUCAUGACCAUCAGAGCCUUGCUUCCUGAGCACAAUGCUUGCCCUAACUAUACUCCAACCAGACAGAGGAACAGGCAGCUCUGAAGGAAGUGGAAGGCCUUACUGUCUGAGCCAGCUUACACCCACCCAGCCCUGCUUCUCAGUAAAAAGGUCGGUCCCAAGCUUGGUGCCUUUUUAAACCUCAAAGAUGCAGGCUCUGCUCUGGAAAGGACACAAGCUGAUGGACAGGGAGUGCAAAAACCUCAUCUCGGUCCCAAAAUCAAAAACAGGCGGCCCUGCGGGUUCCUCAGUUUCCCCAUUCAUGACACGGACCACUGGCUCCUAAAUCAUGUGCCCCGGACCCAUUCCAAAGGCCCACUAAGCAGUGAUUGCACCACAAGGUACGUGGGCCUUCCGGCCGAGACUAGAAUCAUACCUACAAGUAGCAUCUCGUAGGGAACUGUGAAAGCCAACAUUCAGGAGCGCUCGCGCUCCAAAAGUCGGUCAUCCCACUUGUGGAGAGUCUAAACCCCAAGACCUUUCCUUCCCUAAGCAGAGGACAGAAAACGAGGGGUCCCCUUGGUCUUUAACACCGGCUGGCCAAGAAAGUGCCUGAACUCAGGUGCGCAGGCAAAGGAUGGCCCGGGAACUCUGGCCGGAAAGCUGCUUCCUAAAAUGACAGCUGGAAGGCAAUAGGGAAGGACCCAAUACAUGAACCCCUGAAAGUCCAAGCUUGUCUGUCCCUCCCCUGCCCCCCAUCCCUAGCUAAGAGGUCUGGGCAGGCGUUCAGGGCUCCCUGCGAUCCAGCCCGUCAGCAAUAAUCACGGCUGGCCCCGAUGUAGCAACCAAAAGGCUUUCCUGCACUUCCCACCUGUCACCUCGCCCAAUCCUCGCGGCUUCCGGAGGCAGGUUCUGUCUGUGCGCCCAUUGCCCGGAUGGAAAAGCAGCUUCUGCUAUGGCCAGAGGGGCCUUCCUGGUCAGAGGCUGCAUUCGAAGCCAUUUUCCUGACUCUGAGUCCAACGCUGUUGACACCUUAAUUUUGCCUCUCACUUUUGGAGCUCCAUGUGUUGUUGGUAAAACAGAUACUUUGGAACUGACUGUUAAUAGUGUUUUGUUUUGUUUUUUUAAUUUCUGAGUUAAGAAAAACUGGCAUUUAUUAACUUGUAGUUUUAGAACUCACUAUUUCAAAUAAAAAAGACGUCUUUUACAUGAACAGUC
rnacentral:lncRNA from 1 species